rnacentral:lncRNA from 1 species
UCGGAUCGUUCCACAUCUCCCGACUCCCGGGGAGAAACUCAGAGGUUAUAAAUAGGAACUCCUUUCUCCAGUUGGAUCCAAAGUUCGUCGGGAGCUCAUCGACGAUGUUCUUGUCAAAAUGUCGUCGCGUGAACCCAAAGCGACCGGAUCCAGAUUUUUCUUUCGUGAGCUUGUAGAAGUACAGAAACAAGCUCGCCGUCGCAGCAAUGUUGAGCCCCCAGCAGAUGUUCAUGAAGCCCCGCAGGAUCACGAAGAAUCCCGCCGGGAGCUGCGACAGUG